CCCCUAGAGCAACCCUGGACAUGAGGAGUGGGGGGAAUGAGGCAGAACUGUCCCAGGUGCCCACAGGGCAGCAGCGUCCCCGGGACACCCUCAGACAUAGGGAGUGACAGGGACGAGGGAGGAUGCAAACAGCUGAGACUGUGGAGAGCCGGCUCGUUUCCAGGCGGUGUUGCUGCCUUCGCCUUGCCAAUGAGGACAGUCGGACACAGGGAAGAAGGGGCUCCACCAGCAGCACCCAGCGAGCACCCGGCAUGCCUGGGAUUCGAGUGCAGGCCUGUCUGAUUCUGUAGGGAGGAGAAAAUCUUCUUUCCUCUACCCCUCUAGGUUCUCUGGCUGGGGCUCUGAAAGAGACUGACAAAGGCAGAUUAACGAGAGAAAAACAGACACGAGUUUAUUACCACGUGCAUCACGCACACCCAUGGGAACGUCCGCAGCCUGACUCCAUUUGUCCCACUUUCCAAUAUUCCAUGUGGAUAGCCUAGAACCAUCUAAGAGAUAAGGCACCCAGAUCGCAAACCACAGGACUCGGAAUUCUCUGCUUGUCUCCUAAUUAGAAGCCAUUGAAGAGUCAGUGGACUGAAUACAAAUUAACCAUUAGAUCAACUGAAAAUGUCAAGUUUAGAUGAAUCUGAGUUCUCAUUUAGAUAUUUUCUGGCUGUUGGCCCAGCCCCACAAAUAAAUACACAUUUGAAAGUUAUCCUGUUACUUUGAUAAAAGAAUUUGGUCUCUUACAAAUGAUAAUUCAGCUCUCAAUGUGGCUUAGGUGAACAUAGUUUUGGAUUUCUUCAAGUAAGAUAUAUGAGCACAGUGUGUAUUAUCUUUACAACAGAUAUCCAUAAUAAUUAUAGUAACAAAGCCAUCUUUCUAUAUUUCUUUAAAGUUUGUUUUUUCCUUUUAAGCUCCAUCCCAGGAAUUUGGGCUGUAAUUCAGGGACUUGUAGAACCUCACAGUGAGAGAGGAGUGAAGUCCUGUCUGCUUGGAUUUAUUGCUGUCUUGAUUAAUGAGAAUUGCUAGCUUUUCCUUACUUUUGGAAGGAGGCUGGGAAAUGCAAACUUCCCACCUGCCCUUGAAGGAGAAAGGAAUCUGGACUGGAUACAAAGAAGCUGGUGAGGAGCAUUUAUCCUGCAGUCCCUGCUAGGUGCAGGGUGCUGGAGCCUGGAGACCGGAGACAGGGGCAGCACCCCGAUGGUCGUAUACCUGCCAGCCCUGCUGGAGGGGGCGAUUAGGGCAGAAGUCUUUCCACUGAGAAGCGGACUGUGCACUGUUGUGGACUGAGCUGAUAGGUACCGAGCUUUUGGACACUGUGCUGCUGGAGCAGGGUGGGGGAUACAGGGGGAGUGAAAGGAACCAGCCCCCUCAGCAGGCCUGGAAAGACGAGGUGGGUGCCCAGACCCAGUAGGUUGUUGCUCUGCUGGCCCAUACUGUAGCAGUGACUUGGCUUGGUAGACCUGGGAGGCCAUUGUGUUUUUAUACUUACCACAAUUCAUGCAUGGUCUGCCCAAUGUGUGGGGUUAGUUCUGCCCGUUGAUUCUCUUCCUCUUGUUUCAUGGUACCCUUACUGUAAGGGGAGUGACCAGAACUGGCCACACAGUGGGCAUCUUCUAGGCACUGUCCUGGCCAGGAGGACAAGGCCGCCUUUUGCACUGGUUCCCCUGUCAGGUCAGGCCUUGGCCCACCACCUGUGCCUUCCAUGUCCUCCUUCCUGUACACUCACGCACCCCUCCCCUGGUAACCAUGUUGCCUUUACACCCAUGAGCCCUGCUGUGGUGCCCUUGCCAGGCACAGUGAGAAACACAAGGGUGACCUGUAGACGAACUGGGCUGAUAUGGGUGGAUCAAGGCCCAGAGCUGUUGUAUAGACGCGUCAGAAAUACAUGCGUAUGAGAAGGGAGAGUAAUGAGAAGAACCUCAUUCACUGGCGAGUGGGGAGGAAGGUGCUGGCAAGAGCCUGGUAUGGAGCUCAGACUAGAGGUGGACCAGCCUUGUCUUUAGAGCUGUAUGAAAGCUCGAAAGCUGCCCCCACCCCAACUCAUUCACCCAGUCACAAAGAUAGGUGACCUGUCAUCAGAUGGCUUCUGUUUCCCGCUAACAGUCUAGUAACACAGAUGAGCCCAUUCUCCUUAGCACCAUUCUCUCCACCACCAACACUUACUGGUCACCUCUGGAUACUGGAAGGAAGAGGUGAACUGGAAAGACAAGACCACUCUCUGCCCUCAAGAUGGGGCUGUGUCUAGCUAAGUGAGAUGUGUGUGUGUGUGUGUGUGUGUGUGUGUGUGUGUAUACACAUAUAUGUAUAAAGACAACCAUAUUUAUUUGUCUAUAUGGGACUACAUCUCUGCAUAAACACUACCAUAUGCAGGCUCUGAGGUCAAAGUUCAUCCUUACCUCAGCUAGACAGGAGGAUCCAGCAUUUUCUAAUUAAUAAAAUACCUCACAGCUUUCCUUAUCCUGCUGUAGUUGGACAUGGAAUUCUUUUGGUUAUUCUGCUUAGGAAAAGUAGCCUCUGCAUUAAAUGCCAAGCUCUGUAGGGGAGCAAAGCCUAUGCUUUGCUUAACACAUAGAAUGGAAUUGCAUUAAUGUGAGAAAGCAUUUCGAAAAUGAUGGAGUCUGUAGAGAUGCUAGGAAUUGUUUUCAUGAUCAUUACCUGAAGCUUCAUCCUAAAAUGUGCUGACUCUUAAUUUAAGUAUAUGCAACCCAAAGUUAUCUAGGCCUGUCAGCCUCAGCCUUAAGCUCUAGUCUUAGCACUGUGAUGCAUGAAGAGAAAUGUAAUUUCUACUCCAAAAGUGUUUUAAGAUAACAUAAGAUUGGCCGAGCGCAGUGGCUCACGCCUGUAAUCCCAGCACUUUGGGAGGCAGAGGCAGGAGGAUAACGAGGUCAGGAGAUCGAGACCAUCCUGGCUAACAUGAUGAAACUCUGUCUCUACUAAAAAUACAAAAAAAAAAAAAAAAAAAUUAGCCGGGCAUGGUGGCAGGAACCUGUAGUCCCAGCUACUCAGGAGGCUGAGGCAGGAGAAUGGCGUGAACUUGGGAGGCGGAACUUGCAGUGAGCCGAGAUCGCACCACUGCAUUCCAGCCUGGGUGACAGAGUGAGACUCUGUCUCAAAAAAAAAAAGAAAAAAAAAAGAUAACAUAAGACUUUAAUUAAGUCUUUGGAGGGCUGGCAUAUCAGGGGUGCGACACACAGCAGAAGAUUUCCAAAAAUCCUCACACAUGUGCGCCACUGUCCUUGUCAGCAUGGCCUUCUCCUCACCCUUUCAUGGGCCACAGUCCCUCUUCUGGCCUCCCCUAAAAGCUCUGGCAGGCCCUCUUUCAUGACCACUUCCCAUCUACCUCUUCUUAUAG
rnacentral:lncRNA from 1 species